rnacentral:rRNA from 1 species
GUGAGGAAUAUUGCGCAAUGGAGGCAACUCUGACGCAGCCAUGCCGCGUGCAGGAAGAAGGCGCUACGCGUUGUAAACUGCUUUUAACCGGGAAGAAACCCCAGGACGUGUCCUGGGUUGACGGUACCGGAGGAAUAAGCACCGGCUAACUUCGUGCCAGCAGCCGCGGUAAUACGAAGGGUGCAAGCGUUAUCCGGACUCAUUGGGUUUAAAGGGUGCGUAGGCGGAGCGUUAAGUCAGUGGUGAAAUCCUGCAUCUUAACUGUAGACUUGCCAUUGAUACUGGCGCUCUUGAGUGCGCUUGAAGUGGGCGGAAUGUGCCGUGUAGCGGUGAAAUGCUUAGAUAUGGCACAGAACACCAAUUGCGAAGGCAGCUCACUAAGGCGAUACUGACGCUGAGGCACGAAAGCGUGGGGAUCGAACAGGAUUAGAAACCCUGGUAGUCC